rnacentral:rRNA from 1 species
AAUUACCCUGGUAGUCCACGCUGUAAACGUUGGGCGCUAGGUGUGGGGGGCCUCUCCGGUUCUCUGUGCCGCAGCUAACGCAUUAAGCGCCCCGCCUGGGGAGUACGGCCGCAAGGCUAAAACUCAAAGGAAUUGACGGGGGGCCCGCACAAGCGGCGGAGCAUGCGGAUUAAUUCGAUGCAACGCGAAGAACCUUACCUGGGUUUGACAUGGCCGCAAAACCGGCAGAGAUGUCGGGUCCUUCGGGGGCGGUCACAGGUGGUGCAUGGCUGUCGUCAGCUCGUGUCGUGAGAUGUUGGGUUAAGUCCCGCAACGAGCGCAACCCUCGCUCGAUGUUGCCAGCGGUUCGGCCGGGGACUCAUCGAAGACUGCCGGGGUCAACUCGGAGGAAGGUGGGGAUGACGUCAAGUCAUCAUGCCCCUUAUGUCCAGGGCUUCACGCAUGCUACAAUGGCCGGUACAAUGGGCUGCGAUACCGUGAGGUGGAGCGAAUCCCAAAAAGCCGGUCUCAGUUCGGAUCGGGGUCUGCAACUCGA